rnacentral:rRNA from 1 species
GCUAGGAGCGGAGGACAUUACCGAGUUUCAACUCCCAAACCCCUGUGAACAUACCUUAUGUUGCCUCGGCGGAUCAGCCCGCGCCCCGUAAAAAGGGACGGCCCGCCGCAGGAACCCUAAACUCUGUUUUUAGUGGAACUUCUGAGUAUAAAAAACAAAUAAAUCAAAACUUUCAACAACGGAUCUCUUGGUUCUGGCAUCGAUGAAGAACGCAGCAAAAUGCGAUAAGUAAUGUGAAUUGCAGAAUUCAGUGAAUCAUCGAAUCUUUGAACGCACAUUGCGCCCGCCAGUAUUCUGGCGGGCAUGCCUGUUCGAGCGUCAUUUCAACCCUCAAGCCCAGCUUGGUGUUGGGAGCUGCAGUCCUGCUGCACUCCCCAAAUACAUUGGCGGUCACGUCGAGCUUCCAUAGCGUAGUAAUUUACACAUCGUUACUGGUAAUCGUCGCGGCCACGCCGUUAAACCCCAACUUCUGAAUGUUGACCUCGGAUCAGGUAGGAAUACCCGCUGAACUUAAGCAUAUCAAAA